AUGAAAGAAACUAUCAUGAACCAGGAGAAACUCGCCAAACUGCAAGCACAAGUGCACAUUGGUGGGAAAGGAACCGCUCGCCGAAAGAAGGUGGUUCACAGAACGGCUACAGCAGAUGAUAAAAAACUUCAGUUCUCGUUAAAGAAGUUAGGGGUAAGCAAUAUCUCUGAUACUGAAGAAGUGAAUAUGUUCACAAACCAAGGAACAGUGCUCCACUUUAACAACCCUAAAGUUCAGGCAUCGCUGGCAGGGAACACUUUCACCAUUACAGGCCAUGCUGAGACAAAGCAGCUGACAGAAAUGCUACCCAGUAUCUUAAACCAACUUGGUGCAGACAGUCUGACUAGUUUAAGAAGACUGGCUGAAGCUCUGCCCAAACAAUCUGCGGAUGGAGAAGCACCACUUGCUACCGGAGAGGGUGAUGAUGAUGAAGUUCCAGAUCUUGUGGAGAAUUUUGAUGAAGCUUCCAAGAAUGAAGCAAACUGAAUUGAGUCAACUUCUGAAGAAGAUAAAACUUGAAGUUCCUGGGAGCUGCUAUUUUAUAUUAUGACUGCUUUUUAAAAUUUUGUUCAUGGAUCUGAUAAAAUCUAGAUCUCUAAUAUUUUUAAGCCCAAGCCCCUUGGACACUGCAGCUCUUUUCAGUUUUUGCUUAUACACAGUUCAUUCUUUGCAGCUAAUUAAGCUGAAGAAGCCUGGGAAUAAAGUUUGAAACAAGGUUAAUAAAGUUCUUU